rnacentral:tRNA from 1 species
GGGGAUAUAGCUCAGUGGCACAGUACUUGGCUGGCAAGUACGAGGUCCUGAGUUCAAUCCCCGGUACCCCCC